rnacentral:rRNA from 1 species
CGCUAGCUACAGGCUUAACACAUGCAAGUCUUGGGGCAUCAGGAAGAAAGCUUGCUUUCUUUGCUGGCGACCGGCGCACGGGUGAGUAACACGUAUCCAACCUGCCCUUUACUCGGGGAUAGCCUUUCGAAAGAAAGAUUAAUACCCGAUAGCAUAAUGAUUCCGCAUGGUUUCAUUAUUAAAGGAUUCCGGUAAAGGAUGGGGAUGCGUUCCAUUAGGUUGUUGGUGAGGUAACGGCCCACCAAGCCUUCGAUGGAUAGGGGUUCUGAGAGGAAGGUCCCCCACAUUGGAACUGAGACACGGUCCAAACUCCUACGGGAGGCAGCAGUGAGGAAUAUUGGUCAAUGGGCGCUAGCCUGAACCAGCCAAGUAGCGUGAAGGAUGAAGGCUCUAUGGGUCAUAAACUUCUUUUAUAUAAGAAUAAAGUGCAGUAUGUAUACUGUUUUGUAUGUAUUAUAUGAAUAAGGAUCGGCUAACUCCGUGCCAGCAGCCGCGGUAAUACGGAGGAUCCGAGCGUUAUCCGGAUUUAUUGGGUUUAAAGGGAGCGUAGGUGGACUGGUAAGUCAGUUGUGAAAGUUUGCGGCUCAACCGUAAAAUUGCAGUUGAUACUGUCAGUCUUGAGUACAGUAGAGGUGGGCGGAAUUCGUGGUGUAGCGGUGAAAUGCUUAGAUAUCACGAAGAACUCCGAUUGCGAAGGCAGCUCACUGGACUGCAACUGACACUGAUGCUCGAAAGUGUGGGUAUCAAACAGGAUUAGAUACCCUGGUAGUCCACACAGUAAACGAUGAAUACUCGCUGUUUGCGAUAUACAGUAAGCGGCCAAGCGAAAGCAUUAAGUAUUCCACCUGGGGAGUACGCCGGCAACGGUGAAACUCAAAGGAAUUGACGGGGGCCCGCACAAGCGGAGGAACAUGUGGUUUAAUUCGAUGAUACGCGAGGAACCUUACCCGGGCUUAAAUUGCAGUGGAAUGAUGUGGAAACAUGUCAGUGAGCAAUCACCGCUGUGAAGGUGCUGCAUGGUUGUCGUCAGCUCGUGCCGUGAGGUGUCGGCUUAAGUGCCAUAACGAGCGCAACCCUUAUCUUUAGUUACUAACAGGUUAUGCUGAGGACUCUAGAGAGACUGCCGUCGUAAGAUGUGAGGAAGGUGGGGAUGACGUCAAAUCAGCACGGCCCUUACGUCCGGGGCUACACACGUGUUACAAUGGGGGGUACAGAAGGCAGCUAGCGGGUGACCGUAUGCUAAUCCCAAAAUCCUCUCUCAGUUCGGAUCGAAGUCUGCAACCCGACUUCGUGAAGCUGGAUUCGCUAGUAAUCGCGCAUCAGCCACGGCGCGGUGAAUACGUUCCCGGGCCUUGUACACACCGCCCGUCAAGCCAUGGGAGCCGGGGGUACCUGAAGUACGUAACCGCAAGGAUCGUCCUAGGGUAAAACUGGUGAC